CAACUAUAGAUACAUACCAGAUGGAUAAAGACAAAAUGGCAAUGGUACAAAUUUAGUGAUGAAAUGGAUGAAGUUUUCCUGGAUAUUUUUUCCCAUGAGGAAACAUGUGUUCUAAGAUAAAACAAUGGCCAAGUGCUAAAGGACAAAGGAGACUACUUAUAAAGAACAUAAUGCAAUUUUAAACAAAUACUUUUGGCAACAGAUAGAUCUAUGAGGUCUACAUAAUUCCCUGCAGACAUAAAAUGAACAAUAAUUCUGGUGUUUAAUUCUAGAUAUAUACGUAUAUAUAUAUAUAUAUACUGAGUUCAUUCAUCCAUAUUAAUAAAUGAUUAUUCUCUUA